CUUCUCCACAGAGGCCUCUGGGGUCACAGGCGGGGCAGAGGCCGAGCUGCGCAGCCUGGGGGUGGAGCUCUGUGCCAGCCCGCUGCCGCCGGGACUGGGGAAGCCCUCGCCGGGCUGGCAGCUCCCCCGGGCCCCACUGUGCGGGCGGGGAGCGCGCCUGACCCAGCCAUUGUUUCCUAUCUCCGCACCAGCGUCAGUGGAAAAUCUCCCCCCUGCCGCGCCUGGGUCGGGCUAUUUAUCCGGCGGCGCUGCCGUCACGGAGAGCGGCGCUGCUGACGGGGGAGCUGACGCUCUUGGCCGCUACCGCUGGGUUUGCGGCGGCUACAGUGGGGCUCUGUGUGGCGCUGGGAACGGGGCGCGGAGGUCCCGCCGCAGCCCCCGCUUUCUCCUCCUCCUGGCCCCCGGCUGCGGCAAGUGGGGGCCGGGCGCUGCUGCUAGCGCCGCCCCCGGGCCGCGCCUGGCCUUGUGCUGCCUCUCCUCCUCUGGCGGCGCCCGGGCUGAGCUUGGGGAGCGCGGCCCGCGCAGCUGGGGCAUGGUGCGGUGCGGCUCUGAUGGGAGGGACGCGCGGCGGACAACACAGGCAGGAAAGGAGCCAGAAAACCAGACUCUCUCUCAAUAUACUGGCACCAUUCUUCUUCCAUUGGCUGCACAAAGAGUAGAAUUGAGCUCCUAUUCCUAG
ensembl:lncRNA